rnacentral:rRNA from 1 species
UAACUAUGUGCCAGCACCCGCGGUAAUAUGUAGGGNGCGAGCGUUUUUUUGAAUUNUUGGGNGUAAAGAGUGCGCAGGGGGUUUUUUAAGNCUGGGGUGAAAUAUCCCGGCUCAACCUCGGAAAUGCGCUUGUGACUGCAAGGCUAGAGUNUGGCAGAGGGGGGGGGAAUUNCCCGUGUAGCGGUGAAAUGCGUAGAGAUAUGGAGGAACACCCCUGGCGAAAGCGCGCCCCUGGGCCAAUACUGACNCUCAGGCACGAAAGCGUGGGGAGCGAACAGGAUUAGAUAC